rnacentral:lncRNA from 1 species
ACGGUCUUGUCUGCACCUCCAGAGCCCCCAGGCUUGCUCACUUGGCUCUACUUCUGGGCAGGGUGCCCUGGUAUUGCUGCUGCUGGCACCUGCGUGCCUUGGAGGGGUCUCCAGUGGGACCUCUGAGCACGGCUCUUCCUGUACCUUGAGAGGUGAGCAGAGGGCGUUUGUGGGAGAACUGGAACCUGGGGAGGAAAAACCCCAAGGCAGGCAGAGACUGUCCCUGAGUCUGUCCAGUGACCCACCGAAGCUGAGUGGUGUAGGACACGGAGGCCCGCCCGGGACCUGGGGGAGAGAGGGCCUUAGUCCGGUGAGACCAGCCUGGUGGGCGCCUGGGGGAGAGAGGGCCUUGGUCCGGUGAGACCAGCCUGGUGGGUGCCUGGGGGAGAGAGGGCCUCGGUCCGGUGAGACCAGCCUGGUGGGGCAGAGAGGGCCUCGGUCCGGUGAGACCAGCCUAGUGGGUGCCUGGGGGAGAGAGGGCCUCGGUCCGGUGAGACCAGCCUGGUGGGUGCCUGGGGGAGAGAGGGCCUCGGUCCGGUGAGACCAGCCUGGUGGGGAAGGGAGGGCCUCGGUCCGGUGAGAGCAGCCUGGUGGGGCAGAGAGGGCCUUGGUCCGGUGAGACCAGCCUGGUGGGGAAGGGAGGGCCUCAGUCCGGUGAGACCAGCCUAGUGGGUGCCUGGGGGAGAGAGGGCCUCGGUCCGGUGAGACCAGCCUGGUGGGGAAGGGAGGGCCUCAGUCCGGUGAGGAGACCAACCUGGUGGGUCCAUGCCACUCUCGCCUGCUGUCAGGGCCUGCCCUUCUCUCCGGCCUCCAGCUGCUUUGCCCCAGCCCAGCCUUCACGCGCCUCAGCUGCCUCCCCCUACCCCGAGCUUGAGUCCAGCUGAGCUGCACGUGGCUUUCCCAGUGGAGCAGACUCUGUCUGAUUUCCCGACGGCCGGCACCCCCCAGGGCUUGCUCCCCGCCGUGGAACAGCCCCUUGGGGCCAGCCUAGGGCUCCUGCUGGGGGCAGAGUCCAGGAGCCUCGGGACAACAUGUGGACUCAGGAUGUCCAAGUCUCAAAGGAGAGGAGCCUGGGGAGCUUGGGAUGAGGCUCGUCCGCAGCCUGAAUUUUCUUCCUUUGCCGUCACCUGUUGCCCCUCUGGGAGCCACCGUGGAGAAUGA